rnacentral:rRNA from 1 species
UGGCUCAGAACGAACGCUGGCGGCAGGCUUAACACAUGCAAGUCGAACGCUCGUAGCAAUACGGGAGUGGCAGACGGGUGAGUAACGCGUGGGAAUAUGCCUUUUGGUUCGGAAUAACUCAGGGAAACUUGAGCUAAUACCGGAUAAGCCCGAUAGGGGAAAGAUUUAUCGCCAAAAGAUUAGCCCGCGUCCGAUUAGCUAGUUGGUGAGGUAAUGGCUCACCAGGGAGACGAUCGGUAGCUGGUCUGAGAGGAUGAUCAGCCACAUU